rnacentral:rRNA from 1 species
AUGCAAGAAUUCGGAGAUGUGUACUGCUCGGUUGAGAAGUGGUGCGAAUUGGUGGGAAAAUUCACACCCAGACAGCGCAUGAUGCUACGUGGCACAAAUUUGGACAGUAUGUUGAGAAUUCCUUCAGUGAAAAUGAGGAAAAAUUUAUUGGAAUUUAUGAUUACAACGUAUGAUAGUAGUAGAAAGCGAUUUAUUAUUCAGCCAAAUACUGACGGCAUCAGUGUGCUUAAUGAAGAUGUUUAUGACAUAUUCGGGCUACGUAACGAGGGUGAUGAUGUCAAUAGCAUGAUAGCAACAGUACAACUAAACGCCAAAAAAUUGUUCCGAAUCGGUUUUUAG